CCUACGGGAGGCAGCAGUAGGGAAUCUUCCACAAUGGGCGAAAGCCUGAUGGAGCAACGCCGCGUGAGUGAAGAAGGUCUUCGGCUCGUAAAGCCCUGUUGGUAGAGAAGAAAGUGAGAGGGAGUAACUGUUCUCGAUUUGACGGUAACUACUCAGAAAGCCACGGCUAACUACGUGCCAGCAGCCGCGGUAAUACGUAGGUGGCAAGCGUUGUCCGGAUUUAUUGGGCGUAAAGCGAGUGCAGGCGGUUCUGUAAGUCUGAUGUGAAAGCCUUCGGCUUAACCGGAGUAUUGCAUUGGAAACUGUGAGACUUGAGUGCAGAAGAGGAGAGUGGAACUCCAUGGGUAGCGGUGAAAUGCGUAGAUAUAUGGAAGAACACCAGUGGCGAAGGCGGCUCUCUGGUCUGUAACUGACGCUGAGGUUCGAAAGCGUGGGUAGCAAACAGGAUUAGAUACCCUAGUAGUC
rnacentral:rRNA from 1 species